UUGACAAUAUUCUUUCUGGCACGGCAGUUCCUUUUAUUUUAUUAAAACUGUAAAACUGACAGUCUACCAAACCACGAGGACGAUAGACAGCCUCUCUUUCUGAGCGCGAAGCCAACCAGGGUGAGUGCCAUCUCAGGCAAGUAACCCUGGUUCUUGAUGACCGUUCCUCUUCAGUCACAUGUGGCAGAGUUGGAGGGAAGAGAGGCAUUCUGAGUGGU